rnacentral:rRNA from 1 species
AAUACGUUCCCGGGCCUUGUACACACCGCCCGUCACACCACGAAAGUCGGCAACACCCGAAGCCGGUGGCCUAACCCUUUUGGGAAGGAGCCGUCGAAGGUGGGGUCGGUGAUUGGGGGUG